rnacentral:misc_RNA from 1 species
GUGAUGUGUACAGCUUUGGGGUUGUGCUACUUGAAGUGCUAUCUGGCAGGCGAGCUAUAGAUAGAAACAAGCCAUCUGGAGAACAAAAUUUAGCCAGGUGGGCAAGGAGCACUAUCAACAAGCACAAAUUUUCCCAAGUUUUGAAUCCUGCCAUUUUAGGAAAGUACUCCAUAACAAGUGUGAUAAAAGUGGCUCAACUUGCAUCUCAAUGCGUGUCAGAGGAGCCAAAGUCUCGGCCAAAGAUGAAAGAUGUGGUAGAAAUUUUCGAAUUACUUCUAGAAUCCAAUGACAAUGAGGAAUGCAAAGGCUC